rnacentral:rRNA from 1 species
CCUACGGGUGGCAGCAGUGGGGGAUAUUGCACAAUGGGGGAAACCCUGAUGCAGCGACGCCGCGUGUAGGAAGACGGUCCUCUGGAUUGUAAACUACUUUCCCCAGGGACGAAGAUGACGGUACCUGGGGAGGAAGCUCCGGCUAACUACGUGCCAGCAGCCGCGGUAAUACGUAGGGAGCGAGGGUUGUCCGGAAUUACUGGGUGUAACGGGAGCGUAGGCGGGGAUGCAAGUUGGGUGUUAAAUCUACGGGCUCAACUGGUAGUCACACUUGAAACUGCAGCUCUUGAGUGAAGUAGAGGCAGGCGGAAUUCCUAGUGUAGCGGUGAAAUGCGUAGAUAUUAGGAGGAACACCAGUGGCGAAGGCGGCCUGCUGGGCUUUUACUGACGCUGAGGCUCGAAAGUGUGGGGAGCAAACAGGAUUAGAUACCCGAGUAGUC